GGGCCUGUAGCUCAGUGGCAGAGCGCUUGCCUAGCAUGCAUGAGAUACUGGGUUUGAUCCUCAGCACCA
rnacentral:tRNA from 1 species